UAACACCUUGCAGCUGCACCUUCCAGCUCUUUUCCAGGAAGCCAUCCCUUGGAGCUGAGCUGUGUUCCUGCUCCCGGCCCAGCUGGCUGACUUUGCCCUGCAGAGGACCAGACCUGCUGACACAGUUCCCUUCAUCCCUGGAGGUGACACCUUCCAGCAACAGGGGGGCUUGGAAAACAACCCCAGGAGUCUGGGAAGCUGUCAGGCUCUGUAGUCCCUUUGAGAUGAAAGGCUUGUCAGCACGUGUUGGCGAGAUCGGUGGGAGAUCCGCACUGGCAACCCAGAAGAGACAAGCAGACAUGUCAUGAGCUGAAAGGAUAAAGAAUAGAACUAGCAGUGGGCUAGAAAACCAAGAUAACUUGUAUUUGUUCCUUUGGCAUUGGGGUACCACUCCAAAACAGAGGCCAGCUUUUCACAGAGGCAAAGCCAAGUUCAUCUCGUGCAGGCUGACAAAUGGUCAUGUAAGUUACCAAAUAACCCAAGACCUCAGGAUUAAACGUCUCCAAUUGUUUUCAUAUGAUGCAACUUGAAAUCUCUCUUUUAACAGUAUUAAAUUUCCUUUCAUUCCCAUAAACUUCAGCACAAGUUGCCUGCUCUCACAUUUCAGGCUGUGACCCAGCUAACUUGCACUUUUCCCCUCUGCUAGUCUGGGGAAGAGAAUAAUGAAAUUCAGACAGCAGUGACCAAAUGUUGCUCCGCAGAACUUUCCUUUUGCAAACCAGAUGAAUACUCCUGGGCUCCAAAGCACUGCAGGGAAGAAAACUUUCAAACCUGAUGGAAAUCAAAUAAUAAGCCUGUGCAGUGACUUCAUCUCCUUUAUCAGAUCAGAGGCUUUUUCACUGCAGUUGAAAUGAGUUUUUAAAAACCCAUUUCUAAAUAGAGCAGAAGAAUUAAGAAAUCCCACUGAAGCCACUCCUGAAAUACUGCUUUAUUGAAAACCCCCACCCCAACGCGAGUGAAAGCUGAAUUUCACAGAGCUACCGAGGGGAAAAACCUCUUCAUCAUCCUCUUCAUUUACAUAAUUCUCUUGCAGAUAGAGGUAAGAAUUGUAAGAGCCAGGAAAAGGAAUACUUUCGCUUUGGUGCUUGUGAUGGAAAAGAUGAUAAGCAAACGUAUUGUGAGCUCUGACUGGGACAAAGGGCUAUAGAAAUGACCGCAGACAGGCUGUGUGGAGGGAGGUGCAGUUGCUGCAAGGUCUGGAAUUUCUCCCUCGAGGUGCUGAGCGCUCUCGGAUCUCACCCGGCCACGUUAGUCCCCUCAGCAUCUUGCCAGAUGAGGCCCUGUAUUUAUAUAACCAGAAAUACCCACUGUGCUGCAGAUUUGCUGCUGGUGUGAGUGGAAUUGCAUUCACUUAAGCCCAUUGCAAACGUAGCCACUAGAGUCAAAAUAAAAGGAGCCAAAAUAUAUAAAUCCAGCAGACGAAGUUUAUGGGGGAACUAAAGCAAACAUUCACCAUCAAGAUUUAGUGGGGCCAAAUUGUUCUCACUAAAAGGGGUACCUUACAACAUUCUGUGUCCUAGGGGCACAGUCUCCAUUUUAGUGGUGUGCUAAACUCACGCUGAUAUCAAUAAAAGUUUUACGUGGAAAA